CAAAUACUCAUCUGUCCAACAAAAGAUGUCUCAAAUUUGUCAAAAUUUAGAUGUAUUUAGACAUGACUUAGUGUAUAGAUGCAUUCAAAUUUGGUCAAAAUGGAGACAUCUUUGUUGGACGGAAGGAGUAACGG
rnacentral:pre_miRNA from 1 species